CCUAGAGAACUCCUUUGGUGUUUUGGGGUCUCCCCAGCAUGCACAAUGGGGGUUAUGCUAGCAUCUCUUUCCUAGGGAACUCAUGAGGUUAUGUUUGAGAUAAAUAUUUAAAAACUCAUGGUGUGGUGUUCCCUGUGGAUAUUGCACACACUUAGAAAUGGAACAAAUACAAGAAGGGGUGAGAGAAAAUAAAGCAUGCGAAGAAGUUAACUUGGUGCCAUUGGGCAGAGGGUGAGAGCCCAGCAAACCGGAGAGAUCAGCUGCCCACAUCAGUGGCGAGGAGUGCGGAGAGUGGGUGAGGCUGGGGCAGGAAGCAGGCCAGCCUGCCAGAGCCCAGGAACAGGUGAAAGGCAAGAGUGAGCUCCUCACCCUGAAUUCUCAGGGUUCACAGGACCUGCUGAAGCUCACACCCGUGGACCACCCAGACUGCCUGCCGCUACAGGAUGCCCUCCGCAUCUCCCAGGACUUCUUUCCGGCAUCAGUGUGGACAUUGACCCCACUGGACUGCAGUCACA
rnacentral:lncRNA from 10 species